rnacentral:rRNA from 1 species
GACGUAGGAUGCGAGCGUUGUCCGGAUUUAUUGGGCGUAAAGAGCGUGUAGGCGGCCAGGUAGGUCUGGUGUGAAAACUCGAGGCUUAACCUCGAGAUGUCAUCGGAAACCAUCUGGCUAGAGUCCGGAAGAGGAGAGUGGAAUUCCUGGUGUAGCGGUGAAAUGCGUAGAGAUCGGCAGGAACACCCAGGGGGAAACCAGCCGGCUGGGGACGUGCUGACGCUCAGGGGCGAAAGCGUGGGGAGCGAACCGG